CCCUGUGACAUACCUAUAACGUUGCCUCGGCGGGAACAGACGGCCCCGUAACACGGGCCGCCCCCGCCAGAGGACCCCCUAACUCUGUUUCUAUAAUGUUUCUUCUGAGUAAACAAGCAAAUAAAUUAAAACUUUCAACAACGGAUCUCUUGGCUCUGGCAUCGAUGAAGAACGCAGCGAAAUGCGAUAAGUAAUGUGAAUUGCAGAAUUCAGUGAAUCAUCGAAUCUUUGAACGCACAUUGCGCCCGCCAGUAUUCUGGCGGGCAUGCCUGUUCGAGCGUCAUUACAACCCUCAGGCCCCCGGGCCUGGCGUUGGGGAUCGGCGGAAGCCCCCUGCGGGCACAACGCCGUCCCCCAAAUACAGUGGCGGUCCCGCCGCAGCUUCCAUUGCGUAGUAGCUAACACCUCGCAACUGGAGAGCGGCGCGGCCACGCCGUAAAACACCCAACUUCUGAAUGUUGACCUCGAAUCAGGUAGGAAUACCCGCUGAACUUAAGCAU
rnacentral:rRNA from 2 species